rnacentral:rRNA from 1 species
GUAGGGUGCAAGCGUUAUCCGGAAUCAUUGGGCGUAAAGAGCUCGUAGGCGGUUCAGCAAGUCGGCUGUGAAAUCCCGAGGGCUUAACCUCGGAACUGCAGUCGAUACUGCUGUGACUAGAGUCCGGUAGAGGAGAAUGGAAUUCCCGGUGUAGCGGUGAAAUGCGCAGAUAUCGGGAGGAACACCAGUAGCGAAGGCGGUUCUCUGGGCCGGUACUGACGCUGAGGAGCGAAAGCGUGGGUAGCAAACAGGAUUAGAUACCCUGGUAGUCCACGCCAUAAACGUUGGACACUAGGUGUGGCGUUCCGACCAACGGGUGCCGUGCCGAAGCUAACGCAUUAAGUGUCCCGCCUGGGGAGUACGGCCGCAAGGCUA